AUUUUUUGAUUUUAGUUUAUUUACGUAUUUAGUUGAUUUUUUAAUAGAUUUAGUUCAUCUGUUGAUGUAACACAGA
rnacentral:rRNA from 1 species